GGACGACACUGGCCCAAUUGGACGACACUGGCCCAAUUGGACGACACUGGCCCAAUUGGACGACACUGGCCCAAUUGGUCGCAGACACUCUUAUCCAGAGCAACUUACAAUUGCUUCAACUAAGGUCCAUAACACCACAUGUCAUAGUCAUAGAAUGUAAAAACGCUCCUCAGUAAAGCAGCUGUCAGCAAAAUUGGUGCAAGAAAGACAAAUGCAACAGUAAGGCUUGAUUUAUAUUUUCUUUACACACACACUCUCUUUCCCGUAAGGGGUUCCCGUAAGGGGCACAAGACACACGGCUCUAAUAAUGAAGAUAGCAUAGUGCUAAUGACCCCCAGCAGACUGCUCUAAGACUGAGAAAACAGUGACAUCACCCAUAGAGAUGGUAAUACAGGCUAGCAUAAUGCUAAUAAUGAAGAUAGCAUAGUGCUAAUGACCCCCAGCAGACUGCUCUAAGACUGAGAAAACAGUGACAUCACCCAUAGAGAUGGUAAUACAGGCUAGCAUAAUGCUAAUAAUGAAAAUUCUAGCAAAUCCCAGAAUAGGGCUACAACUAAGGUGACAUGAGAUCAUGAAUAUAUAUCUGUGCUGACUAGUGUAAAAUUUAAAAGACCAUUAGAGCACAGCACUUUGACACACUGCAUUUACUCAUAGAGGCGGUCAAUACAACAUACAAUGUCUUUACAAUAUCCCUAUAGAGAACACUUUCUUAGCUGACAGCAUUCAGGCACUGUAGAAGAUAGCGUUGUAGUGGGAGUGUGCCCUCUAGUGGUCUGGCUAGGUAGCAGUUGGAUGUUUUCAAUUAUUUCACACAGUAUGUUGAUGUAUUCAGUGACAUCAAACCUACAUGAGACAUUCAUCAGCACAUAAUACUUUCACUCAGCAAUCCUGACAGCCUGUUUGUGGAGCGGGCACAUACAAUAUAUUCAACACCGAACAGUUUAUAGUAAUCCGAUUUCAGAAAAUCAAAACAAGUCAAAAUGGAUUGCUAGACUCUGGGAUAGCUAGCGUUAAGGCUCUGAUGGCUGUAUCUCCACUUUGAGGCAAAAUCUCUGGGUGAACAAAACUAUAGAUCAUGUACAGUAUUUAUAGGGUACAUGAAGGCAUAAGGUCUGUUUGGUGGUGGUCUUUAUUCAGGGGUGGAUGCCCCCUCCCAUCUACUCUCCACCCAGAAGUAGGAGCCAGAGCAGGGGUCUCUCAUCUGCCACUGGUAAUGAGAUCCAGAGGUAGCUGCUGCUGCUCAGACUGGGAGCAGUUAGUUCCCCUCCUCCAUCCCUUCCUCCUCUUUCUUCUCCUUAUCCACUCCUUCCUGCUUGCAUUUUGAUGUUGAUUUUAUUUGCACAUAAACUUUAUCACAUACUUACUAUGCACAUUCAGGGUAAGGAAAGGGACAUCUAAUAAUCUUCCCACCUAACUACACUUCCUAUUCCCCCUUCUUUCUCCUCACCUACCCUCCAUCCUUCUCCUCAUGCCUAUUUAAUCUCCUCAUUCUCUUCCUCCUCCUCCCCCUCUCUGUCUACCUACCAUUCCUGGUCUGUACCACAUCUGUGACAAGCAUGUGUAGCAGACUGCUCCCUCUCUCCCGUGCCCCUUUUAGAGAGAUCACAAAAGUAGCUACAUCGACGGGUACUUCAGGGAGAGAGAGGGGGGGAGAAGAGCCAAA
ensembl:lncRNA